rnacentral:rRNA from 1 species
CCCUUAGAUGUUCUGGGCCGCACGCGUGCUACACUGAGUGGAUCAGCGGGUCAGGUUGCGCGAAAGUGUUUCCUAAUCUUGAAAUCCGCUCGUGAUGGGGAUUGACGGUUGCAAUUUUCCGUCAUGAACGAGGAAUACCUUGUAAGCGCGGGUCAUCAUCCCGCGCUGAAUACGUCCCUGCCCUUUGUACACACCGCCCGUCGCUCCUACCGAUUGAGUGGUCCGGUGAGGCUUUGGGAUCUGGGCAAAGAGAGCGUUUCGCUCGUUUUGCCCGGAAAACUCAGUCGAACCUUAUCAUUUAGAGGAAGGAGAAGUCGUAACA